rnacentral:rRNA from 1 species
CCUACGGGGGGCUGCAGUAAGGAAUAUUGGUCAAUGGAGGAAACUCUGAACCAGCCAUCCCGCGUGAAGGAUGAAGGGGCUCUGCCUUGUAAACUUCUUUUGUCUGGGGCGAAAAAGCUCGAUUUAUCGAGAACUGACGGUACCAGAAGAAUAAGCACCGGCUAACUCCGUUCCAGCAGCCGCGGUAAUACUGAGGGUGCAAGAGUUAUCCGGAAUCACGGGGUUUAAAGGGUGCUAGUAAGUCAUAGGUGAAAGGCUGGGGCUUAACCAUGGAAUUGCCAUUGAUACUGAAGAGCUUGAAUGAGGUUGAGGUUGGCGGAAUGUGACAUGUAGCGGUGAAAUGCUUAGAUAUGUCAUGGAACACCGAUUGCGAAGGCAGCUGACUGGACCUAUAUUGACGCUGAGGCACGAAAGCGUGGGGAGCGAACAGGAUUAGAUACCCCUGUAGUC